CAGCAGCCGCCACGGUAAUACAGAGGGUGCGAGCGUUAAUCGGAUUUACUGGGCGUAAAGCGUGCGUAGGCGGCUUCUUAAGUCGGAUGUGAAAUCCCUGAGCUUAACUUAGAAAUUGCAUUCGAUACUGGGAAGCUAGAGUAUGGGAGAGGAUGGUAGAAUUCCAGGUGUAGCGGUGAAAUGCGUAGAGAUCUGGAGGAAUACCGAUGGCGAAGGCAGCCAUCUGGCCUAAUACUGACGCUGAGGUACGAAAGCAUGGGGAGCAAACAGGAUUAGAGACCCCGGUAGUCCCUGUCUCUUAUAC
rnacentral:rRNA from 1 species